UCCAUCGUGAGGUGGAAUCUGAAGGAAGUCGGCGGCAAAACUCUGGUUUGACGAACAGAAACUACAUAUAAGGCAUGUGCUUGUGGGUGGGUUUGCAAGUCAAAACAAAGCCCUAAACUAUCUGAAAGAGGCGAUGUAAAUGUAGCAGAUGUGAUGGAGGGAAAGUAAGCGUU
rfam:Clostridium argentinense CDC 2741 T732.Contig247, whole genome shotgun sequence.